rnacentral:rRNA from 1 species
UACAGAGGGGGCAAGCGUUAUUCGGAAUUAUUGGGCGUAAAGGGCGCGUAGGCGGCUUAGCAAGUGACGGGUGAAAUCCCUCGGCUUAACCGAGGAACUGCCUGUCAAACUGCAUGGCUUGAGACCGGGAGAGGUGAGUGGAAUUCCCAGUGUAGCGGUGAAAUGCGUAGAUAUGUGGAGGAACACCAGUGGCGAAGGCGACUUUCUGGCUUAUAACUGACGCUGAGGCGCGAAAGCUAGGGUAGCAAACGGG